rnacentral:rRNA from 1 species
UACAGAGGGUGCAAGCGUUGUUCGGAAUUAUUGGGCGUAAAGCGCGUGUAGGCGGCCAGGCAAGUUGGGUGUGAAAGCCCUCGGCUUAACCGAGGAAGUGCGCCCAAAACUACUUGGCUUGAGUACCGGAGAGGAUGGUGGAAUUCCCGGUGUAGAGGUGAAAAUUCGUAGAUAUCGGGAGGAACACCAGCGGCGAAGGCGACCAUCUGGACGGAUACUGACGCUGAGACGCGAAAAGCGUGGGGGAGCAAACAGG